AACGAACGCUGGCGGCAGGCCUAACACAUGCAAGUCGAACGAAGUCUUCGGACUUAGUGGCGCACGGGUGAGUAACACGUGGGAAUAUACCUUACGCUGGGGGAUAACAUCGGGAAACUGAUGCUAAUACCGCAUACGCCCUUCGGGGGAAAGAUUUAUCGGCGAAAGAUUAGCCCGCGUCCGAUUAGCUAGUUGGUGAGGUAAUGGCUCACCAAGGCUCCGAUCGGUAGCUGGUCUGAGAGGAUGACCAGCCACACUGGGACUGAGACACGGCCCAGACUCCUACGGGAGGCAGCAGUGGGGAAUAUUAGACAAUGGGCGCAAGCCUGAUCCAGCCAUGCCGCGUGAGUGAUGAAGGCCUUAGGGUUGUAAAGCUCUUUCACCCACGACGAUGAUGACGGUAGUGGGAGAAGAAGCCCCGGCUAACUUCGUG
rnacentral:rRNA from 1 species